AUUGAACGCUGGCGGCAUGCCUUACACAUGCAAGUCGAACGGUAACAGGUCUUCGGAUGCUGACGAGUGGCGAACGGGUGAGUAAUACAUCGGAACGUGCCUAGUAGUGGGGGAUAACUACUCGAAAGAGUGGCUAAUACCGCAUGAGAUCUACGGAUGAAGGCAGGGGAUCGCAAGACCUUGUGCUACUAGAGCGGCCGAUGGCAGAUUAGGUAGUUGGUGGGAUAAAAGCUUACCAAGCCGACGAUCUGUAGCUGGUCUGAGAGGACGAUCAGCCACACUGGGACUGGGACACGGCCCAGACUCCUACGGGAGGCAGCAGUGGGGAAUUUUGGACAAUGGGCGCAAGCCUGAUCCAGCAAUGCCGCGUGCAGGAUGAAGGCCUUCGGGUUGUAAACUGCUUUUGUACGGAACGAAAAGCCCUGGGUUAAUACCCUGGGGUCAUGACGGUACCGUAAGAAUAAGCACCGGCUAACUACGUGCCAGCAGCCGCAGUAAUAC
rnacentral:rRNA from 1 species